CUCUCCUGCCACAGCCACUCUCAGUCAGUCAGAAAACCUCUCUUGCCCUGUCUUCACACGAAUCCAGAUCCAACCACCUCUUCCCGCAGCCACCACCCUGGCGUUAGCUACCGAUGGCCUUCUCACUGCUGUGGACUCGAGGUGCCCCUGCUUUCUUCAGUCUGCUCUCAGCUCAGUGGCUCGGCCAGCUUCUUCAAAGAGGAACCCCAGCUUCCACAGCAGAGCUCCACACAGACAAGCUCUCAGGAAAUAAUGUUCUCCAAGAAACGGACUCAAGGAAGAGGAGUAAACUAUAAACCAAGGUCCCGGAGUAGGUGAGAUGGUUGGACGGGAGCGCAAAGCACAAAUCUUAACAGUGGACAGAAGAGAUCAGCGCCACAGGGAUCCGGGGUCAGUGGGCGGCCCUCGGGUUCCCUUCUUCCCGGUUUCCUUUCUGCCUUUAGUCCCAGUUUCUUUCGCACCUCAGGGCCCUGGCCCAGUGGGCGCUCAGCGGACCCUUCCUACUGCCCGCAUCCCUGUGCAGCGCUGGGACCCAGAGUGACACUGCAGGCGGUC
ensembl:lncRNA